rnacentral:rRNA from 1 species
AGCGAACGCUGGCGGCAGGCCUAACACAUGCAAGUCGAACGGAUCCUUCGGGAUUAGUGGCGGACGGGUGAGUAACACGUGGGAACGUGCCCUUUGGUUCGGAACAACUCAGGGAAACUUGAGCUAAUACCGGAUGUGCCCUUCGGGGGAAAGAUUUAUCGCCAUUGGAGCGGCCCGCGUCUGAUUAGCUAGUUGGUGAGGUAACGGCCCACCAAGGCGACGAUCAGUAGCUGGUCUGAGAGGAUGAUCAGCCACACUGGGACUGAGACACGGCCCAGACUCCUACGGGAGGCAGCAGUGGGGAAUCUUGCGCAACGGGCGAAAGCCUGACGCAGCCAUGCCGCGUGAAUGAUGAAGGUCUCAGGAUUGUAAAAUUCUUUCAGCGGGGACGAUAAUGACGGUACCCGCAGAAGAAGCUCCGGCUAACUUCGUG